rnacentral:rRNA from 1 species
UACGUAGGCAGCGAGCGUUGUUCGGAGUUACUGGGCGUAAAGCGUGCGUAGGCGGUGUCUUAAGUUUGUUGUGAAAUCUCCCGGCUUAACCGGGAGGGUGCGGCGAAUACUGAGAUGCUGGAGUGCCGGAGAGGUAAGCGGAAUUCCUGGUGUAGCGGUGAAAUGCGUAGAUACCAGGAGGAACACCUGCGGUGUAGACGGCUUACUGGACGGUAACUGACGCUGAGGCACGAAAGCGUGGGUAGCAAACAGG